UGGAUACUAUGAUGAAAGCAUAGUUCAGCAGAUUUAACCUCUGAUGAACAAUCAGAAGUCUUUCGCUCCCAUCCGAUGUAUCUG
rnacentral:snoRNA from 1 species